rnacentral:lncRNA from 1 species
ACACGACGUCAUACGGGUGGAAAUUUUCAAGGGAAAGAUUAUUUGUUACAUGUACGCUUCAAAUUCGGAUAAUAUUUAAUUAAAAUGAAGUUUUUUAGGUAGGUGCUAUAUUUCAUUUUAGAUUCUGAUGCAUUUAUCGGACAUUUAUGGUUUUUAAAAAGAUUGCGGCGUACUCUUUAGUUACGACAUGCCAUUGCGCUUUUGAUGGCAAAUAUAACAGCCAUCAAACAAAUAAUGUAAAUUAGUAAUCGCGUAUGUUUUGCUGAAGAAUUAUAAGGAUUAAACACAUUUUUUCUAGAGGUUAUUG